rnacentral:tRNA from 1 species
GAGGGUGUAGCUCAGUGGUAGAGUGCUUACUAGAAUGCACGAGGUCCUGGGUUCAAUCCCCAGCAUCUCCA